rnacentral:rRNA from 1 species
UUAGAUUCCUGUACCACGCAUUAUCAGAACUGUAGGGACGCAUGUGGAAAGCACGAGCCGGGAAUGGAAAGACCGGUACAAGCGGGGUAGGUGUACAAUAGGCAAAUCCGUUGUAUAAUCCGAAGACGUGAUGUGGAGCGAAAUAAAGUAGCAAAGCGUGUGAGCCAUGUGCCGAGAAAAGCUGCUAUUGUGUAAUGCGUGCCCGUAC